rnacentral:rRNA from 1 species
AUUGAACGCUGGCGGCAGGCUUAACACAUGCAAGUCGAGCGGGGGAAGGUAGCUUGCUACCGGACCUAGCGGCGGACGGGUGAGUAAUGCUUAGGAAUCUGCCUAUUAGUGGGGGACAACAUCUCGAAAGGGAUGCUAAUACCGCAUACGUCCUACGGGAGAAAGCAGGGGAUCUUCGGACCUUGCGCUAAUAGAUGAGCCUCAGUCGGAUGAGCUAGUUGGUGGGGUAAAGGCCACCAAGGCGACGAUCUGUAGCGGGUCUGAGAGGAUGAUCCGCCACACUGGGACUGAGACACGGCCAAGACUCCUACGGGAGGCAGCAGUGGGGAAGAUUGGACAAUGGGGGGAACCCUGAUCCAGCCAUGCCGCGUGUGUGAAGAAGGCCUUAUGGUUGUAAAGCACUUUAAGCGAGGAGGAGGCUACUUUAGUUAAUACCUAGAGAUAGUGGACGUUACUCGCAGAAUAAGCACCGGCUAACUCUGUGCCAGCCGCCGCCGUAA